rnacentral:tRNA from 1 species
UCUAAUAUGGCAGAAAAAUGCGUUGGAUUUAAAUUCCUAUAAUAAAGAUUAUAUUCAUCUUUUUUUAGAA